GCCAUUAGUGGUGCACCCCGUCCUAAGAAAAAUCCUGGAUCCGCCCCGGUUUGCGAAUUUUCUAUGGUGAUCGAAGGGACUUUGCCUGCAGGUAACGUUUGAUAGGAUUGCUCUCAAGUCUAGAGAAACGUAAAUUUAUGAAGAAGUAGAUAAUAACACAUGUAUUUUGAAUUCUUAACUUGCUGUAGGUACUUUGUACAACUGGACGCUUGUUCUUCACGGAACAGAUAGUGAUCCAUUGGACAGCAACCCUCAUGUGUCAAGACCUUUCAUUCGCAGAGUAACUACGGCCAAUGCUGUUACUGCGAAACCUAAUGGAAGUCGCCAUGAAGGUCUGACAGGGGCAGAGAUUGUUGUGAUAGGAAGCGUUGCAUUUGUCGCCUUGGUAACACUUUGCGUAGCUGUGGUUCUCUACAAGUGUGGAGCUUGUUCUUGUGGAAGGAAGUCCUCCAACACAAAAGCAUCGAAUGACAUCAGGUUAUCACAACACAUUGUCACUGAAGUCUAACACAACGGAGCAAAGGAAGAUCAAAUGUCUGUCUAUAGAUGUUCCCUAUGUCCUCGUAUCUCUCUCUUUACAGUGAAGUGGCGAGAAGAAACAAAGAUGCAUCCCGGUAACCGUUCCUUGGUACGGAGAAGGAAUCCUGGAGAACGAAGUGAUGAGGGGAACAGACAUGCACUCUGGACUUGAAAAAGAGGAGUCGCGCCCUCUUGAACGUUGACUACUUUUGCGAUCAAGAACUAUAAAUAAAAUUAUAUUUGAAAACUGGA